rnacentral:rRNA from 1 species
GUAGGCGGUUUACCAAGCAAGGCAUGAAAUAGUGUGGCUCAACCAUACUGCUAUGUUUUGAACUGGUAGACUAGAGGAUGAGAGAGGUUAUUGGAAUUCCAAGUGUAGGAGUGAAAUCCGUAGAUAUUUGGAGGAACACCGAUGGCGUAGGCAGAUAACUGGCUCAUUCCUGACGCUCAGGCACGAAAGCGUGGGUAGCAAACGGGAUUAGAUACCCCGGUAGUCCACGCCGUAAACUAUGGAUGCUAGCUGUACACCGUAUCGACCCGGUGUGUAGCGAAGCUAACGCGUUAAGCAUCCCGCCUGUGGAGUACGAGCGCAAGCUUAAAACAUAAAGGAAUUGACGGGGACCCGCACAAGCGGUGGAGCGUGUUGUUUAAUUCGAUGGUAAGCGAAGAACCUUACCAAGGCUUGAAAUCCUGAGAAGCACUGCGAAAGCAGAGUGUGCCUUCGGGAACUCAGUGACAGGUGUUGCAUGGCCGUCGUCAGCUCGUGUCGUGAGAUGUUGGGUUAAGUCCCGCAACGAGCGCAACCCCUAUGUUUAGUUGAAUUUUUCUAAACAGACUGCCCUGGUAACAGGGAGGAAGGAGGGGAUGAUGUCAGGUCAGUAUUACCCUUACGCCUUGGGCUACAAACACGCUACAAUGGCCAGUACAAAGGGUAGCCAAGUCGCGAGACGGAGCAAAUCCCAUCAAAACUGGUCUCAGUUCGGAUAGCAGGCUGAAACUCGCCUGCUUGAAGCUGGAAUCGCUAGUAAUGGUAAGUCAGCACAUUACCGUGAAUACGUUCCCGGGUCUUGUACACACCGCCCGUCAAACCAUGAAAGUGGCCAACACCCGAAGUCCGAUUUAUCGGCCUAAGGUGGGGGACAUGAUUGGGGUU